rnacentral:rRNA from 1 species
UUCAUGGUGAGUGGUGCAAAGCUUUUGCGGUGUGGGAUGAGCCCGCGGCCUAUCAGCUUGUUGGUGGGGUAAUGGCCCACCAAGGCGACGACGGGUAGCCGGCCUGAGAGGGUGACCGGCCACACUGGGACUGAGAUACGGCCCAGACUCCUACGGGAGGCAGCAGUGGGGAAUAUUGCACAAUGGGCGCAAGCCUGAUGCAGCGACGCCGCGUGAGGGAUGACGGCCUUCGGGUUGUAAACCUCUUUCAGUAGGGACGAAGCGAAAGUGACGGUACCUACAGAAGAAGGACCGGCCAACUACGUGCCAGCAGCCGCGGUAAUACGUAGGGUCCGAGCGUUGUCCGGAAUUACUGGGCGUAAAGAGCUCGUAGGUGGUUUGUCACGUUGUUCGUGAAAACCCACAGCUUAACUGUGGGCGUGCGGGCGAUACGGGCAGACUAGAGUACUGCAGGGGAGACUGGAAUUCCUGGUGUAGCGGUGGAAUGCGCAGAUAUCAGGAGGAACACCGGUGGCGAAGGCGGGUCUCUGGGCAGUAACUGACGCUGAAGACCGAAAGCGUGGGUAGCGAACAGGAUUAGAUACCCUGGUAGUCCACGCCGUAAACGGUGGGUACUAGGUGUGGGUUUCUUCUUGGGAUCCGUGCCGUAGCUAACGCAUUAAGUACCCGGCCUGGGGAGUACGGUCGCAG